CCUACGGGCGGCAGCAGUGAGGAAUAUUGGUCAAUGGCCGGAAGGUUGAACCAGCCAUGCCGCGUGAAGGUCAGUGCCCUAUGGGCGUUAAACUUCUUUUGUGCGGGAGCAAUAAUGGUCACGUGUGGCCAUACCAGAGUACCGUACGAAUAAGCAUCGGCUCACUCCGUGCCAGCAGCCGCGGUCAUACUGGGGGUGCAAGCGUUAGCCGGAUUUAUUGGGUUUAAAGGGUGCGUAGGCUGUGAGGUAAGUCAGCGGUGAAAUGCCCCCGCUCAACGGGGUGAAGUGCCAUUGAUACUGGCUUGCUGGAAUGCGGAUGCCGUGGGAGGAAUGUGUGGUGAAGCGGUGAAAUGCAUAGAUAUAACACAGAACACCGAUUGCGAAGGCAUCUCACGGAGCCGCGAUUGACGCUGAUGCACGAAAGCGUGGGUAUCAAACAGGAUUAGAUACCCUUGUAGUC
rnacentral:rRNA from 1 species